AUACUUACCUGGCUUGGGUACACCGUGAUCAUGCAGGCGGUUCCCCAGGGCGAGGCUGCCCCAUUGCACUGCGGAGUGGUUGACCCUUGCGAUUAUUUUUAUUUCUAUCAAUAAAAAAAUCAUGAUAGAAAAUGUAUACUCGACUAAUUAUUUU